CCCACUUUAACCAUACAGAUGGAGGGUGGGGGGGAGGUGGUGUCUCAGAAGGAACUGUUGAAUGUUGUUACCAGAGGGGAGAAUGAUGCUCAGCAGGCAAAAGUAACAGAUGUCCACUACACACCCCACCCCAGACAGGACUGAAUGCCGAAUUUCAUCUUCAUGACCAGGCACCAAUACAUUUUUUUCAUGAAGCAUGAGCAAAGCCUGAAGUGCAAGCCAAGACCUCAGAAAUGUGAUCGCUGUUACCAAGGAUUUGAGAGGAGCUGAGUCGCUUGGGGGCCACGGCAGGCUGGAGGCUGCUGAGUUUGGAGAAACACCCACUGGGCAGAUUUGAUAUUGUUUCUCACCGCUGCCCUGAAACUCGUUUGGAAACAAACAAACAAACAAACAAACAGAAACCAAAUCAAUCGAAUAAACAAA